AGCAUCCAGGACGUCCAGCCAGAAGUAGCCAGUACAAGCCUAGCUACGAGGCUUCGGGCUGUUCACGUGACUUCACCCCACUUGUCAACUCUCAUUGCCGAGCGUGGUCGCAUCGUUUUGUGCGGUACGCGCCAACAAUGAGGGCCAAGUGGCGUAAGAAACGGAUGCGAAGGUUGAAGCGCAAACGCAGGAAGAUGCGUGAGAGGUCCAAGUAGGCCGGACCCACGAGUGGUGGAAGACAAAUCCAGCUGCUGGCAGAGGGAGUGUGUCCUACGACGACGCCUUCGACUUCCUGCCUGGACUGUGCCACCACCGCCUGGCUGCUGCAUCGGAUGGUGCCCUUGCUCUUACAUGACGGACCCAAGUUCUCGAAGUGCGCAAGGCACACCUCUGGACAUUGGAUCAUCACUUUCGCCUCCAUUAAACGCUCAUCCCACAAUGA
rnacentral:lncRNA from 1 species